rnacentral:rRNA from 1 species
GACGAACGCUGGCGGCGUGCCUAAUACAUGCAAGUCGAGCGGACAGAUAGGGAGCUUGCUCCUUUGACGUUAGCGGCGGACGGGUGAGUAACACGUGGGCAACCUGCCCCUUAGACUGGGAUAACUCCGGGAAACCGGAGCUAAUACCGGAUAAUCCCUUUCUCCACCUGGAGAGAGGGUGAAAGAUGGCUUCGGCUAUCACUAAGGGAUGGGCCCGCGGCGCAUUAGCUAGUUGGUAAGGUAACGGCUUACCAAGGCAACGAUGCGUAGCCGACCUGAGAGGGUGAUCGGCCACACUGGGACUGAGACACGGCCCAGACUCCUACGGGAGGCAGCAGUAGGGAAUCUUCCGCAAUGGACGAAAGUCUGACGGAGCAACGCCGCGUGAGUGAGGAAGGCCUUCGGGUCGUAAAGCUCUGUUGUGAGGGAAGAAGCGGUACCGUUCGAAUAGGGCGGUACCUUGACGGUACCUCACCAGAAAGCCACGGCUAACUACGUGCCAGCAGCCGCGGUAAUACGUAGGUGGCAAGCGUUGUCCGGAAUUAUUGGGCGUAAAGCGCGCGCAGGCGGCUUCUUAAGUCUGAUGUGAAAUCUCGGGGCUCAACCCCGAGCGGCCAUUGGAAACUGGGGAGCUUGAGUGCAGAAGAGGAGAGUGGAAUUCCACGUGUAGCGGUGAAAUGCGUAGAGAUGUGGAGGAACACCAGUGGCGAAGGCGACUCUCUGGUCUGUAACUGACGCUGAGGCGCGAAAGCGUGGGGAGCAAACAGGAUUAGAUACCCUGGUAGUCCACGCCGUAAACGAUGAGUGCUAGGUGUUAGGGGUUUCGAUGCCCGUAGUGCCGAAGUUAACACAUUAAGCACUCCGCCUGGGGAGUACGGCCG